rnacentral:rRNA from 1 species
AAUCUUCCGCAAUGGACGAAAGUCUGACGGAGCAACGCCGCGUGAGUGCUGAAGGUUUUCGGUUCGUAAAACUCUGUUGUUAGGGAAGAACACGUAUCGGCGUCACCGCCGGUACCUUGUCGGUACCUGACGAGAAAGCCACGGCUAACUACGUGUCAGCAGCCGCGGUAAUACGUAGGUGGCAAGCGUUGUCCGGAUUUAUUGGUCGUAAAGCGCGCGCAGGCGGUCUUUUAAGUCUGAUGUGAAAUCUUAAAGCUUAACUGUAAGCGGUCAUUGGAAACUGGGAGACUUGAGUGCAGAAGAGGAGAGUGGAAUUCCAUGUGUAGCGGUGAAAUGCGUAGAGAUAUGGAGGAACACCAGUGGCGAAGGCGGCUUGCUGGGCUUUUACUGACGCUGAGGCUCGAAAGUGUGGGGAGCAAACA